GACUCUCGCCGUCCCUUUUCCCGUCGCGAAACCGCCCCUCCCUCACCAAGCAGUCGCCUGCGUGCGCACGCGCAAAUCGGAGAGCAGCGGGCAAAGAUGGCGAUUGUGCAUGGAGCAGCGCUGAGAGAAAUUUAUUCAUGAUGUUUCUACUGGGGCAAUGUGGCCCACAUCACCCCCUACAGAGCUGUGGCAGAAAAGAAUAGCAUUCACCAGGACACCUUAAAGAAGAUGGGGGAAGAGCAAUGAGGAUGUUGAUGAAUAAAGUCUAUUCAGAUGGAAGCCCAAACUCAAAGAUCCCAGUGUGUGGGUUUGGAGAGGAAGAUGCAUGUCCUGCCUGGCCAACUCACUCCUGCCCCUUCUCUAACACUGGAUCUGCAAGGCAUAAUCUAGCUCUUUGUGGGGAACUCUCAUCUCCUGACUCCCAGUUCCUGUUCUAACCACUAGACAAUGCUGCUACCUCUUAUUUUCAACUUCCAGCCCCAGCUCCUGGAGUCAAGUGAUUACGUGAUGAUGUCACCCUUUGUUCUUAAAGAAAAAGUGAGUUUCUAGCCCUCGUGGCGGUGGAGAAAGCUUCGAAGUGUGUCCCCAGUGCAUCCUAAAGGCUCCAAAAGC